AUCAAAUUAGCAAAAUUUAAUGCAAUUGACUUAGGCUCAAUAGAUAUAGGUGAAAUACCUUUAUUUGAUA
rnacentral:tRNA from 1 species